rnacentral:rRNA from 1 species
GUCCGGACACUGUGAGGAUUGACAGAUUGAGAGCUCUUUCUUGAUUCGGUGGUGGUGGUGCAUGGCCGUUCGUAGUUGGUGGAGCGAUUUGUCUGGUUNAANCCGAUAACGAGCGAGACUCUAGCCUGCUAAAUAGCUUCUGGAUAAUCAAGUCCAGGAAACUUCUUAGAGGGACAGGCGGUGUUCAGCCGCACGAAAUUGAGCAAUAACAGGUCUGUGAUGCCCUUAGAUGUCCGGGGCUGCACGCGCGCUACACUGGAGGAAUCAGCAUGUUUUUCCUGUAUCGAAAGGUAUGGGUAAACCUUUGAAAAUCCUCCGUGAUUGGGACCGGGAAUUGCAAUUAUUUC